AACGAACGCUGGCGGCAGGCUUAACACAUGCAAGUCGAGCGCCCCGCAAGGGGAGCGGCAGACGGGUGAGUAACGCGUGGGAAUCUACCCAUCUCUACGGAAUAACGCAUGGAAACGUGUGCUAAUACCGUAUACGUCCUUCGGGAGAAAGAUUUAUCGGAGAUGGAUGAGCCCGCGUUGGAUUAGCUAGUUGGUGGGGUACAGGCCUACCAAGGCGACGAUCCAUAGCUGGUCUGAGAGGAUGAUCAGCCACACUGGGACUGAGACACGGCCCAGACUCCUACGGGAGACAGCAGUGGGGAAUAUUGGACAAUGGGCGCAAGCCUGAUCCAGCCAUGCCGCGUGAGUGAUGAAGGCCCUAGGGUUGUAAAGCUCUUUCACCGGUGAAGAUAAUGACGGUAACCGGAGAAGAAGCCCCGGCUAACUUCGUGCCAUCCGCCGCUGUAAAAC
rnacentral:rRNA from 1 species